rnacentral:rRNA from 1 species
CUUGACAUCCAGAGAACUUUCCAGAGAUGGAUUGGUGCCUUCGGGAACUCUGAGACAGGUGCUGCAUGGCUGUCGUCAGCUCGUGUUGUGAAAUGUUGGGUUAACGUCCGCAACGAGCGCAACCCCUAUCCUUUGUUGCCAGCGAUUCGGUCGGGAACUCAAAGGAGACUGCCGGUGAUAAACCGGAGGAAGGUGGGGAUGACGUCAAGUCAUCAUGGCCCUUACGAGUAGGGCUACACACGUGCUACAAUGGCGUAUACAAAGAGAAGCAACCUCGCGAGAGCAAGCGGACCUCAUAAAGUACGUCGUAGUCCGGAUUGGAGUCUGCAACUCGACUCCAUGAAGUCGGAAUCGCUAGUAAUCGUAGAUCAGAAUGCUACGGUGAAUACGUUCCCGGGCCUUGUACACACCGCCCGUCACACCAUGGGAGUGGGUUGCAAAAGAAGUAGAUAGCUUAACCUUCGGGAGGGCGUUUACCACUUUGUGAUUCAUGACUGGGGUGAAGUCGUAACAAGGUAGGCGUAGCGAG